CGGGAAAUGGAAUGUGUAACAUUCCCGACAGGUACAGGAGCGUAGGAAAAUAUAACUAUUCAGUCAACAAACACUCUGCUACAGCUGGUAAAUAUAGUGAUGGGCCUGUCAAAGCGAGUGUCUUUGUGGUCGGUGGAAGAAGUGUUGGAGUGGGUGCAGGACCAGCACCCAACCCACAUGGGCACGCUCCAUAAAGCCAUAAUCAAGCACGCCAUAUCAGGCCGUGCAUUGCUGAGAUUAAAGGAUCAUCACCUGGAGCUGCUCGGGGUGGAGGCUGAGGACCAGCAGCAGAAAAUCUGGCAGGACCUCCUCCUCCUCAGAGUUCAAGAAGAAAUCAAUGAACUCAAUGACAUCUGCUCCGAGUGUUUUUCUUCAUAGCUGGAAAAUAAAUGCGGCUUCCUUUUUCAUUUCCCAUCCAUUGAUUCAACUGUGUGAAGGAGGGAGAAAAGUGGGAGUGAUGGAAAUAACAAGAGAAGGUGAAAGAGAAAGAAGAAUCAAUGAAGAGAGAAAGAAACCCAUUUCCUGUGUGAAAUCUGACCUGUGCAGAUGGAUGAGAUUAGUUUUUGUUGGAGCGUCUUUUCCUGAGUCCUGCUGUCCAUUAGUCUCCUUCUGCUAUCUUUCUCUAUAGUGAGUUUACAUCCUGUCAGUGUAUCAUGAAAUAUCUUUAGCUAUGUUAAUUAAAACCACUUUGGUCAAGACUGUAGUAUCCUAAAAAAAUGUUUUUACCAAAAGAGCACUUGAUUAACAAAUUUCAAAAUAUCAGGUUGAUAAAUUAAGUGUGAGUUAUGUAUAUGGAUGACACCUACCAAUUAAACUAAGUCAAACCACAAGAAAACUUUAUGUAUUGUGGGCAUGUGAUAAUUUGUCUAAUUAAAUCAAAACAAGGCCCAAUAAUAAUCAAUUAAUAAUAAACAAGGUUCUAAAUGUAGUAGAUCCUGUGUCUGCUACAGGGCAUACAGGGAAUCACAGGAAGAUGCAAAAAAUCCAACAGUCUGAAUAGCUGCAUUUCCAUUUAAGUAUUUUUAUCUGUUGAAUACAAACGUCCAACAGCUGUCUGCUGUUCUGAGUCACACACAUGCACUUAAAUGUUUUAUUGUAAAAUCCAGCUGCUCUCUUUGAAAUGCCCGUCCUUGUAUUUUAGACUGAUAAACCACUGUUUGUCUAAAGUGAAUAAUGAAGAGAGUUUAAAAAAAUACUCUAAUUUCUCUGGAUUUUGAUGCAGUUUUGUUUUUGAUACAUGUACUUGUUAAUGUGAUUAAUCCUGUUUAACCGGUCGCAGCUAACAACUACAACUUGUAAAUGUCUUAAAUGCAAGUGGUCCUACAACUUUCAUAUUAUAUAAUGCCCUAUUUCAUUUCUUUGGGUAUUCUAGGCAUCAACUCCCCUCCACAUUUCCAUCACAUACAGUAAAACGUCUUGUCUAUUUCUGAACUUGUUUUUAUGGCAAUGCUACAGCAUGUGCUGCUUUGAGAACACAAAUCCUGCCACGUAUGUGUCAUCUUUCUGCUUUAACAGUUCCUGCCUCAUGCCUCUCAUACACAUCCAGUGUUCCAUUGCAACGCUUUUUUUUUUUACUGAAGAAGCUUCAGAGACUGCUGUUAAAGAUCAAGGACUAUUAAAAUUAAACAGUAAUAAAAAUAAAACAUAUUACUCAUAUUGACUCCAAAGACAGCAAGUGUGGUAAUGAAAAGCGCAAUAAAGAAAUCUAAUCAAACUACGUCCCGUCUGUGGCUUCAAUCACAGAAAGUUGCACUCCCUUUUACACUUUCUCACAGAGUGACACUUGCAAAUAUCUUUAGCUACACCAGUUUUAAGAAAACAAAGAUGGUGAUUUUGAGAUGUUGUGAGGCAUUCAGGUGACCAGGUUUAAACCCAGCUCGGAGAUCUACCUUAUUCUAUACCGUCUCCAUCAUAUACUGCAUAGUAACAGCUUGUUCCAGCUCAUGAAAUAAGCUGUCUGAUGUUUACACUGAAUAAAAUACUCAAAC